UGAAUACGAGAUGCUACGGCAUUGAAGCAGUGUAUGUCAGACUUCCAAGAAAAGCUCGCAAUGUCAUAAACAAUAAAUGCCUGUACCAUAACCGACACAGGUGGGUAGGUAGAGUAUACUAAGGGGCGCGAGAUAACUCUCUCUAAGGAACUCGGCAAAAUGACUCCGUAACUUCGGGAGAAGGAGUGCCUUAUUUUAUAAGGUUGCAAUAACAAGAUCCAAGCAACUGUUUACCAAAAACACAGGUCUCCGCUAAGUCGAAAGACGAUGUAUGGGGGCUGACGCCUGCCCAGUGCCAGAAGGUUAAAGAAGUUGGUUAGCUUCGGCGAAGCUGAUGACUGAAGCCCUGGUGAACGGCGGCCGUAACAAUAACGGUCCUAAGGUAGCGAAAUUCCUUGUCGGGUAAGUUCCGACCCGCACGAAAGGCGUAAUGAUUUGGAUACUGUCUCGGAGAGGGGCUCGGUGAAAUAGACUUGUCUGUGAAGAUGCGGACUACCUGCACCUGGACAGAAAGACCCUAUGAAGCUUUACUGUAACUUGAGAUUGAAAUUGGACUUUAUUUGCGCAGUAUAGGUGGGAGACGUUGAGAAUAUUCUUGCGGGAAUAUUGGAGUCAUCAGUGAGAUACCACUCUUGUAAUGUUAGAUUUCUAACUUUGUAUCAUUAUCUGGUCAAAGGACAGUUUCAGGCGGGCAGUUUGACUGGGGCGGUCGCCUCCUAAACGGUAACGGAGGCGCACAAAGGUUUCCUCUGAACGUGUAGAAAUCGUAUCUAGAGUGUAAAGGCAUAAGGAAGCUUGACUGUGAGACCUACAAGUCGAGCAGGGACGAAAGUCGGUCUUAGUGAUCUGACGGUGCUGAGUGGAAAGGCCGUCACUCAACGGAUAAAAGUUACUCUAGGAUAACAGGCUGAUCUCCCCCAAGAGUUCACAUCGACGGGGAGGUUUGGCACCUCGAUGUCGGCUCAUCGCAUCCUGGGGCGGUAGUACGUCCCAAGGGUUGGGCUGUUCGCCCAUGAAAGCGGUACGCGAGCUGGGUUCAGAACGUCGUGAGACAGUUCGGUCCGUAUCCGGUGUAGGCGUUAGAAUAUUGAGAGGAGCCUUCUUUAGUACGAGAGGACCGAGAAGGACAUACCUCUGGUGUACCAGUUAUCGUGCCAACGGUAAACGCUGGGUAGCUAUGUAUGGAGUGGAUAACCGCUGAAAGCAUCUAAGUGGGAAGCCCACCUCAAGAUAAGUAUUCUC
rnacentral:rRNA from 1 species